UGGCAGACUGUCAUGUUGAUCUCUAAUUUUGUGGUUUUUUCACUUAAACAGUGAAUUUCUUAAUUUAUUUAUAAUUAAAAACAAAAAAAACGUAAAUAUUUAUUUCGUGCCUCACCGGCGUUUAUAAAUUUGAAUCAGUGUGUUUUUUAAGGGUAGCCGGCAAAAUAAAAAUAAUGAGCGCUAUAAAAUCUUGAAUCGAUUUGUAAACUACAAAAUUACGUGAAGUAUUAAUUUGAAUAAAUUAACAUUAUGUCAACAAACUUAUGAGCUGACCGUUAAUAAAAGAAAUCACCAUGUCUCUCGAGCGUGACAACAUGAGUGUUGGACCUAGUAUGAGUGUGGGGGGAUCCUCAACUGAUCCCAGGUCACAACUAUUGCAAGAGAUGAGGGAGCACAACUUUGAUAUGAUUAGAUUUGCAUCAUAUAGAACUGCAUGCAAGCUUCGCUAUGUUCAGAAGAAAUGUAACUUACAUGUGAUAGACAUAUGGAAUGUGAUAGAGGCAUUUCGUGAGAAUGCCCUCAAUACGCUAGAACCAAAUGCAUGUGUCAAUGUGACACGUUUAGAAACACUAGUGUCGUCUUUGUACCAUAAUUUAAACAAGCGUUUACCACCAGCGCACCAGGUAUCUGUGGAAGCAUGCUCAGCAUUGUUGUUGAAUUGGUUGUUAUCUGCUUACAGUACUGGAGAAAAUGUGGGAAAGAUCCGGGUGUUUUCAAUCAAAGUGGCCCUCGCGACAAUGUGUGCGGGGAAAUUAAUGGACAAGCUCAGAUAUAUAUUUUCUCAACUAUCGGAUGGCAACGGGCACCUACUGAUGAAAAGACUAUCCGACUACCUACGUGAAGUGUUAGCACUUCCAGCAGCUGUGUACGAGUCACCUUCCUUCAGCUACAACGACUCGCUUGCGCUGUCCAUAUUUAAUCAGCAAAACGGUAAAAUAACGGUGAACGACUUCCUGGACACACUAAUGUCGGACCCUGGCCCUCCUUGCCUCGUGUGGUUGCCGCUACUACAUAGACUUGCGAGCGUCGAAAACGUGGUGCACCCGCUAGCUUGCAGCGCGUGCCGCCGCGGCUCGCUGACGGGCUUCCGCUACCGCUGCACGCGCUGCGCCAACUACACGCUGUGCCAGGACUGCUUCUGGCGCGGCCGCGUCUGCCCGCCGCACACCAACGACCACGAGGUCAAGGAGUACGCCGCAUACAAAUCUCCGUCGAAGCAGAUCGGCGCGACGCUCCGCAAGUCAUUCCGCUGCGUGCCGGAACGGGCGAGACCACUGCCGCGUUAUCCCGACCGCCCCGAAAGAACCCUCGACCUCAGUCACAUAGUGCCGCCGUCGCCGGUGCCGGCGCACAACGGGUUCCCGGAGUACACGGGCGUGGCGGCAGGGGGCGUGGCGGGCUACCCGCACACCGGCUCGCUGGACUCGCGCUGGGCGCGGGCUCGCGGCGCCGAGCUCAGGGGCGCCGACGACGAGCACCGCCUCAUCGCACGAUACGCCGCGCGGCUCGCGCACGAGAACCGCACUAUGCCAAGAGCUGGAAGAUCUGCUUCGUUAACGCCGGAACUGGGACGGUCAUCAUCGGAAGGCUCUGAGGUGGACGCAGCGCGGCAGCAGCGAGAACUAAUCUCGCAACUAGAGGCUAAAAAUAGGGAAAUUAUGCGAGAGAUCGCCAGACUCCGACGACAACAGGAAGCGGAAGCGAGUGCGGGCGCGGGUGUCACAAGCGGUACUAGCGCGCCGCCGCUUGUGUCCGAGCUGCGGGCGUUACGGCAACGCAAGGACGAGCUGGAAGGUCACCUGUCCUCCCUGCAGGAGUCUAGGAAGCACCUCAUGCAGCAGCUGGAGGGGCUUAUGAGGAUGCUAAAGACUCAGCAGUCGUCACCGCGAUCCACUCCGAACUCGUCGCCUCGUUCCACCAAAAGUCCACCGUUGCCCGGCGCUCAACCACAGCCUUCCGCUCCAGAAAGAGAACCGACCAGUCGCGGUACAGUGCGGAGUGCGCCACAGACGCCCUCUUUGGGAGAACGCGAGCGCAUCGACAUGACUCACAGUCUAGGAGGAAUGGAAAGUAUGGGUGGGGAUGGCAGGCCUUUUCAUCAAAACCAACGACCCACGACAAUGGGCAUAGACAACCGCAGUCUCCGGAGUGAUCUCCUGUACGCGGCGGAUUCCGUUACAAACGCUAUGUCCACACUCGUCAGAGAACUCAAUUCUGAAGGAUCUGACACUGAAGACACGGUAAAAGGCGAGCCCAGGAAACAGAGAGAUUUCGACGAAGACGACGACAGCGAUGAACCGAUGCCGCGACCUCAGCCGCCGCAACAUUAUCUACACGACAACAAUGUUCAGAAUAUGGCAUCUAGUGUUAAGACGUAGUCUUAAAUAUGCAAACACAUAUAGCUUAAGGACACCCCGCCGCCCCUGCCUGCCCGCACCGGCCUCUGCUACCCCCGCACCUAGCUCCAAACAAACAUCACACCACUUUCUGCAUUAUCACGCGAGAGUAUCAAGACAUAAUGCAAUUUACCAUUUUAAGCAUAAUACGGGAGCGGCGAGAUUGGUCUAUAGAUCUUUGCUACGUACACUUAUUGUUGUAUAUAAAUACUUAACUCUCUUUUAGUUCGCUUACUGUGUCUAGUCCCAAGCUAUUUGGUUUUGUGUGACCACGGAUUUGUAUAAAGUAUUUAAAGCACUGAAUGCAGAUCGUAUAUUUAUCGAUAAUGUCUCAUCCCUAUUUUGUAUUAUUAGCAAAAUACGAUUACGUCACCACUAUUUGUUUUCUAAAUGGAAUGAAAGAGAUAGACGUAUAUAUUUCUAAAGAAUGUUUAAUUGAAAUAUCGAUGACUUAGGUGAGAUCAUAAUGGUGACGUAAUUUAAUUAUUUCAGACUUUUAUCUAAUUAUAUACUUGAGCAUUUGCAACGAGAAGGUAAAUUUGAAAGAUAUGAUUACUAUUUUAUUGGUUUUAGCAUUAGAUAUAUUUUAAAUCAUUUUUUUGUAUAUAUCGACCUUCUAUUUAAAAACAAAUAUUCCAAAAAUAUGUUUGUGCAGUAAUUUAUAAUAAAUUCUAACGUAAAAAUAUGCUGUCUCGUCAUUUUUUUGUAAUAUUUCGAAUUUGCUAAUUACUACACUUUUCUAAAAUCUUUUUAAUUUUCAAAAUAUCAAAUAGUUUUGGCGCCAAAAUUUUUAUAUAUUGAUAAAAAACUAUAUAAUCCUGUAUAGAUGUGUACAACACGUUGCAAGUGCUCAGUGUGCAUUAACGACGUCUAUUGUUCAUACAUAUUAUUCCUUUUCUGUCUUCCAUUCGUCAAUUCCUUCCAUUGUGUACAAAAAUGUCAAUUGAUACUUCCCUUAUCAUUUUAACUGCAUAUAUAUAUCUGCAAUCAAUAUGAUGCCGAUUUUAAAUUACCACAAAACGACUAUGGAACACGACUAGCGGAUUUUCUGUAUCCAAUCAUCCGUUACGCAGUCAUAGCAAAUUAUUAAUUUAUUUACAAUCGUGACAGCAAAAUGAUUAUGGAACAUAGCUAGUAGCAUAGCAAUAUGCCGUUACUGAUUUUACGCUUGGUAAAAAUGUUGUACGUACAUAGUUAUUAACUAUUGUUACCGCAAUGUGAUUACAUAGCGCGACUAGCAUCACAUUAGCGAUUUUCCGUCGCGGAUCUUCCGUGUUGUCAAGGAUCUUGUAUAAACACACUUACACAGCGAUUUAUUUAUUAAUAUUGUUACUGCAAUAUGAUUACAGAACACGACUAGCAUCACAUUAGCGAUUUUCUGUCGCGGAUCUUCCGUGUUGUCAAGAAUCUUGCAUGAACACACUUACACAGUCAUUUAUUUAUUAAUAUUGUUACCGCAAUGUGAUUACAGAACAUGACUACCAUCACAUUAGCGAUUUUUCGUCGCGGAUCUUCCGUGUCGUCAAGAAUCUUGUAUGUACACACUUACACAAUCAACACAAGUCAUUUAUUUAUUAAUAUUGUUACCGCAAAAUUAUCAUAGAAUACGGAUAGCAUUACAUUAGCGAUAUUCCGUCGCUGAUCUUCCGCGUUGUCAAGAAUCUUGUAGCCACUCAACACGAGUCAUCUAUUUUUUUAUCACUUUACUCCACCAAUAUUGGUUGGCACUUCUGUACCAUCUUUACGGGAAAUCAUUAUGUGUACCAUCGCACACUACGAGUUAGUAAAAUAUGUACGAAUUAUUAUUAAUAAAACAAAAAUCUUUGUAUUGUAAAAAUUUACAUUUAUAAUUAACCACUGAGAUUACUUACAAACGAAUUAUUGCAAUCAAAAUUCGGUAAAUGAAUUUAUUUUUUAAUAAUUUUUAAAUAUUUUUUUAUGGCAAAAUUAUGAUAUUAUAUUAUAGUUCUUAUUUUGAUAGUACUUAUUUAUUUUGUACGAAUAAUGGAUUGAAAGUGGAGUUAUUCUGACGUGACAUGUCAUGUUUGACUAGGUACCUAUACACGCCAUGUUUGAAAUAUAAAACUUGGAUCUAAAAUCUAGUCUCUGGAAUAGACAACUGUCCUUAAAUACUUGAUCCAAUAAUUGGUAAUCUAUUUUGAUGGACAAAUAUACGCACAAGGUCUAUCUAGUCUGUUCAGGUUUUAAGGAUUAUAAAAGGGUUAGGUAAUUUUAUUACAUAAAUGGGAUUUAAUGAAAUUUUAUUUAACAAAUUUUUGAAUCGAUCGUAUAUUAACAUUUGCAUUUCUAUUAAUAAUUGUAUAUUUCUCAGGCUAAAAAAAUUAAUAAACUUAUACAUACGGCGUGAAGAUAAUAAAAUCACAAAUAAACUACUACUUACACAUGAAAUCAUAAAAAUAGUUAUAAAUAAUAAUAUAAUAAUAAUUUAUUUGUUCAAUUAACUACAGCACACAAAUAAUAACAGACAGACAUACAAAAAAAAAAGAGAUAAAAGAUAAAGUAUGUGUACAAAAAUAUAAUAUUUCUUAAUAAAAUAAAUAUUGCCGCUAAAGAGGACUCAUAUUAAUGACUAUACUCCUAUGGUUUUAAAAUAGCUUUGAAUCUUAUUAAAUAAAAGAGUUUUUGCAAAUUCCUAGUACAGUGUUCACUGUACACAAAAUCACACGAUAUAAUUUAAUAAAACAACUAAAAUGUUGCAUUCAAAAAGGUUUCGAACUAACGAUUGUUCUUCGGUAUUUUUAAAAUGGCUUUCAAUCUUAUAUAAUAACUAUAUUUUUUUAGUAUAUCAUAAUAGUUCCAUCGUUUUACUUAUAAUUCUACAAAUAAAUAUCAAGAAUCAUUUUAAAUGUUUGUAAGUGGCCAGUAUCUAAUUAAUAUACCAAAACUGUACCCAUAUGUAAUUUUUUUAUUGCAUAUUUAGUAAACAUAUCUUUAUUUUGUCAAUAUUUGGUCAUUUAAAAAUAGACAUUCUUUUUACAUUUUCAUAGACAAAGUACAUAAUCAAUUGUAUAAAUCUUUUUAAACGUAAACAAAAUAUUGAUCGUAUGAACUGAUGAUUAAAAACAAAAAUAAAUUGACAU